rnacentral:tRNA from 1 species
CGCUGAAAAGCUAGACAGGCACGAGCAAUAGCCUUUUAAACUAUUAACGGGUGACUCCUAAUCACCUUCAGCGA